GUUAGGUUAGGUUAGGUUAGGUUAGGUUAGGUUAGGUUAGGUUAGGUUAGGUUAGGUCAGGGCAGGUCAGGUUAGGUUAGGUUAGGUUCAAAAAGAGAUAUUUCUUGUUCGUUACUGUGAAUGAAUCAGUGCACAGCAAAUCGGAGAAUAAACUUUCAUAAUGCGCACCUUCAUUCAUUCAAACACACGCUCCUCAAGACAUGGCGAAUUUGUAUGAGUGUGAAUUUGCCAGUUGAAUAUUGAAUACACAUAUUUUUCUCUAAGUACAUACUGAUGUGUGUGUGUGUGUGUGUGUGUGUGUGUGUGUGUGUGUGUGUGUGUGUGUGUGUGUGUGUGUGUGUGUGU